UUGACUUCGACUAGCUACGUUCAGGCAAUAUCCUUUGCAAAUGCCUUAUUACUGACAAAAGUACGCAUAACAAAAGAUAUGCAAACGAGUAAAGGGAGACGUAAAGUAAAAAAUUGAACGUGUAAAUGUUAAUUCAUAGUAGUAACAGAUCUAAUUUAACGUUUACGUUUAAUGUUUCAUGCAUGGAUUUUCUUACCAUCCUAACGAUACGUACGUUCAACCUUUUGGCAGCUAUCUCGCUCCAUAUCUUUGGGACAUCUCUAACCCCUAUCUAACCUUAAUCAUUUUAACUUCAGUGGGGGGUCGGGAUGUUCCAAGGAUUCCGGAUAGCACCCACAUUUUGAUUACACAAAGAGGUUGUUUCACCAGCCCAAAUUAAUUUAACUUUUUGGUAUUAUGAUCAAUUUGAUUUAUUGUACAUGGGUUAGCUCUGGACUCUCACUAAAUAUAUAAAAAAAUGUGGCAAUUUGUAGUCGACUGAAAAAAAAGUAGUUGACACCUAUUUUAAUAAGUGCAAUAAGAUGAUCAGUACCACGGGGCGAAAGGUAGCCUAGUGGUUAGUGUUGGGCCAGUAACCGCAAUGCAGUUGUAUCGAAUCCCUGAGCUGACAAGGUAAAACAUCUGUCGUUCUGCCCCUGAGCAAGCCAGGCUGAUGAGGAUGAGCAAGCCAGGCUGGUGGGCAAGCCAGGCUGAUGAGGAUGAGCAAGCCAGGCUGGUGGGCUUGUGGGCAAGCCAUGCUGUCAUUGUAAUACGAAUUUGUUCUUAAACUGAGUGGUCCAAUUACAUUAAAAACAAAUACCUUGGCGCCCAUUGACAACUGCGAGUCGAGGACAUUUCUGGUUGCGACAUAUCGACGUUUGCAACCAAGAAUAGCACUUGCCAAACACGCCAGCGUGUUUUCUUUCUUUUCUGAAGUCAUGGCGGGACCUUUAAACGCUAGAGGACCAUGGAAAAAUAUAUUUCCUCAGGGAGCGACCUAUGCUCUCCCAAGGGAUGCAACACAUUUUGCCUGAUGUGGACCAUAAAUGAGCAUUGUUCAGGUGGUCGGGAAUGGGAUUCCAGAGAUGGAUUUUGCCAGGGUUGACAAAAUGUGGUGGGACCACCCUCCACCACUAUCUGCAGCUCAGUAGAGAUGAAGAGGUACUUUUCCCAUCCUCUGCUGCUCUGGAUGCCCAGGAAGCUCUGGCAGGUUAAGCUGUAUUGCCUGCAUUCUGUGCAGUAGGAAGGUCAUCAGUUGGAACAUAUGGUUCCUUACACUGUUCCACGCAAAUACACUGGAGAGCUGAUAGGUUUGGAGUACCUCCUCAAUCAGACUGGUUUGGUGCUGCAGGAUCACAAGGCUGCCAUUGAGGAACUAGAGACAGGUGAUUCUGAUGUCCAAGGGGAGGAUGAUGAGGGCUUUGUGGAGCUUGUGGAAUUUCAGGGCCUGACAGUUCCAGUGGUGGAGACAGCCCUGCCUCUUGUUGGCACCUUUCGUCCUACUCCCACUCCCUCUACCAGCACCCAGUCCACAGCUGCAUCAGUCCUCUGUCCUCCACUCCUGUACGGGCUACUCCACCACCUGGGCCUCUGUCCUCCACACUUGUGCUCGUCAGUCCCCUGUCCAACGUUCCUGUUUGGGCUAACAUUACUCCUUAAUCCAUGGACCAUAAAUGUUCUUUUUAAAGUGUGAUUUGGCUCUGGCAGUCAAAACAGCCAAAUACCCCAUCUAACGGAUUGAGAUAGUGAAAUGUUUUGUUGUUUCGGCUCUGUACUCCAGCACUUUGGAUUUGCAAUGAUACAAAGUCAGCUUUAAUUUGAGGGUAUUUUCAUCCAUACGUACUUUUUGUACAUAGUCCCCCCAUUUAAGUGGAACCAAAAGUAUUGGGAUAAAUUAACUUAUGUGUAUUAAAGUAGUCAAAAGUUUAGCAUUUAGUCCCAUAUUCCUAGCACGCAAUGAUUACAUAAAGCUUGUGACUCUACAAACAGUUGCUCUUUGUUUUGGUUGUGUUUCAGAUUAUUUUGUGCCCAAUAGAAAUGACUGGUAAAUAAUGUAUUGUGUCAUUUUAGAGUCACUUAUUGUAAAUAAGAAUAGAAUAUGUUUCUAAACACUUCUACAUUAAUGUGGAUGCUACCAGGACUACGGAUAGCCUGAUGAAUUGUGAUGAAUGAGAGAGUUAGACGCACAAAUAUCAUACCCCCAAGACAUGCUGUAUGACAAGGGCUAUGUUGAGAGGUAGCUUGCAAGUAAGCAUUUCAUUGCACUUUUUACACUGCACUGUAUUCUGUAAUUAUGUAUUAUUAAUACAAUUGGAUUUGAUUUUUGACAGUAAGGAUGCUUUCCAAUUCAACAGACAUAGUUCUAGAAGAAAGUACACCAGGGCUAUACAGUAUCUCUGGACAAAUUUGGCCAGGAGGGCUGUACUGCUCAGAAUUGGCAACCCAGCAACAAGGCACACUUGUUGGAUCAACAUGAGAUGCAGUUCAGCCUUUAGAGGAAGCCCUUCAAGUAGGUUGUUGAAAAUGCUCUGUAGUAUGCUGGGUAUUUGGUGGCAUUGAUGAAGAGUGAUGCAAAAAAACAUGCUGCCAAUCAGAUGACUUUGUAGGAGUCCCAGCAUCCAUUCCACACCUCUAACCGCAUCAGUUCUCUGCUCCUGUACAGACUACUCCACCACCAGCUGGUUCUCUGUCUGUGACCUUGACACCUGUGCCCUGCUGGGCCUCUGUUUAUGAUUUCCACACCUGUGCCCGGCUGGACCUCUGUUCAUGCUCUCCACACCUGUGUCCGGCUGGGCCUCUGUUCAUGAUCUCCACAUCUGUUCCCAGUUGGGCCUCUGUCUGUGCCCGACACCUAUGCUCCUCUGCUCCUUACAGGCUCGGCAUUCUGAUGGAGCCAGUGAUCAGGCGCUAUAUAUAAUUGUAAUUAUUUGUGUUCAAUUGUUUGUCCCUCUGGUGUCUAAAGUAUCCUCCCCUUAAAUCACUAAGGGCACAAAAGCCCUUAGCUGAAUUCUCGAAUUACAUUUUGAUCAAUUAAUGUCCGUCUUUGAAAGCUCCAUUGUAUAAACUUUUUAAUGUUCCUGCUUGUGUGCCUUGUGCACUGAUAUAAAACAAUUAGGGUAUAUUUGUCAUUCUUACGUCUUCCUUCAAUUCUGUCUUCAAUUACUUUCUUGAUUUUACA